UGUUGUGCUUGAACUUGUAGGGGUUGCGGAAGGUGAUAGCGAGCGUGUAGGAUAGGUGGGAGCUUCGGCGCCAGUGAAAUACCACUACCCUUAUUGUUUUUUUACUUAUUCGAUGAAGCGGAGCUGGGUUUUACCGCCUAACUUGUAGUAUUAAGGUCCUUUGUGGGCUGAUCCGGGUUGGAGACAUUGUUAGGUGGGGAAUUUGGCUCGGGCGGCACAUCUGUUAAACCAUAACGCAGGUGUCCUAAGGGGGACUUAUAAAGAACAGAAAUCUUUAGUAGAGCAAAAGGGCAAUAGUUCCCUUAAUUUUGGCUUUCAGUUUGAAUACAGAACAUAAAAAUGUGGCCUAUAGAUCCUUUAGAGUUCCUCGAAAUGUGAGACUAGAGGUACGAGAAAAGUUACCACA
rnacentral:ncRNA from 1 species